rnacentral:misc_RNA from 1 species
UUGGAUCCCUACUUGCGUAGCGACGUCCUCUCGUGCAUUCCUCUUCAAUUAUUGGCACAAGAGCCUCUUUUGCCUUNGCCAAGUUGUUAGUUUCCUGUGCUGUAUACCUACAUCGAUGGAAUUUUUUGGGCAAUCUAUCCCAAGCUUUCCCACUGCUGCCCGUCUACACGGUGCGGCAACGGGAAAACCUUGAAGCGAAAUUCGUGUUGCGAAUUGCAUAUUAAUUGCUAUGCAUUCUCGGCCCACGAGCGUAGCUCGAUUUUGGGGAUUCAGAAAACACUGCGGGUAAGGGUCGUCGAACCCUCUAUUUGCCCCCAAAUUGGCAUUACAUGCCCCAUUCGAUUGACGAUCGAUGUCUCAUAGAUGUUUUACAUCUUGCGGCUCGAUGUCUCUGAGGAAUGCUACCUGGUUGAUCCUGCC